UACGGAGGGGGCGAGCGUUAUUCGGAAUUACUGGGCGUAAAGCGCGCGUAGGCGGCUUUGUAAGUUAGAGGUGAAAGCCCGGGGCUCAACCCCGGAACUGCCUUUAAAACUGCAUCGCUUGAAUCCGGGAGAGGUGAGUGGAAUUCCGAGUGUAGAGGUGAAAUUCGUAGAUAUUCGGAAGAACACCAGUGGCGAAGGCGGCUCACUGGACCGGCAUUGACGCUGAGGUGCGAAAGCGUGGGGAGCAAACAGG
rnacentral:rRNA from 1 species